rnacentral:misc_RNA from 1 species
UCUCCGUAGGUGAACCUGCGGAGGGAUCAUUACAGAGUUCAUGCCCUACCGGGUAGAUCUCCCACCCCUUGUUAUUAUUACUUUGUUGCUUUGGCGGACCGUUAGGCUCCGCCCCGACUACCGGCCCCGGCUGGUAAGCGCCCGCCAGAGGACCCAAAACCCUGAAUAUUAGUGUCGUCUGAGUACUAUAUAAUAGUUAAAACUUUCAACAACGGAUCUCUUGGUUCUG